CCUACGGGAUGCAGCAGUGGGGAAUCUUCGGCAAUGGACGAAAGUCUGACCGAGGAACGCGGCGUGAGUGAAGAAGGUUUUCGGAUCGUAAAACUCUGUUGGUAGAGAAGAACGUUGGUGAGAGUGGAAAGCUCAUCAAGUGACGGUAACUACCCAGAAAGGGACGGCUAACUACGUGCCAGCAGCCGCGGUAAUACGUAGGUCCCGAGCGUUGUCCGGAUUUAUUGGGCGUAAAGCGAGCGCAGGUGGUUUAUUAAGUCUGGUGUAAAAGGCAGUGGCUCAACCAUUGUAUGCAUUGGAAACUGGUAGACUUGAGUGCAGGAGAGGAGAGUGGAAUUCCAUGUGUAGCGGUGAAAUGCGUAGAUAUAUGGAGGAACACCGGUGGCGAAAGCGGCUCUCUGGCCUGUAACUGACACUGAGGCUCGAAAGCGUGGGGAGCAAACAGGAUUAGAUACCGGCUAGUC
rnacentral:rRNA from 1 species